UACGUAGGGUCCGAGCGUUGUCCGGAGUUACUGGGCGUAAAGAGCUCGUAGGUGGUUUGUCGCGUUGUUCGUGAAAACUCACAGCUCAACUGUGGGCGUGCGGGCGAUACGGGCAGACUAGAGUACUGCAGGGGAGACUGGAAUUCCUGGUGUAGCGGUGGAAGUGCGCAGAUAUCAGGAGGAACACCGGUGGCGAAGGCGGGUCUCUGGGCAGUAACUGACGCUGAGGAGCGAAAGCGUGGGGGAGCGAACAGG
rnacentral:rRNA from 1 species